rnacentral:lncRNA from 1 species
GGCCACCUGGAGGUAGCCUUGGUGAUGGUGUGCUUUGUCAGGCUUGUGCUCACAGGGAGCCCAUCCUGUUUCAGGCAGCAGACAACAAUUGAAGUGACCCCAGACCGGAGAUGGACAAAGCAACCUUGGGGAAAGAGACAACGCUGGAGGGAUCGCCAUACCUGAUAUCAGGUGGUGUUUUACUGAAGGAGCAUACAUUAUAGUCACAACCAAAAUAGGGAAGGAGAGUUGAGAUGCCGUCUCCUUGCGUGCUGAAAAGAACAGAAAAAGCAACAUGACAACAAAGGACACUGGCCUGGGAAGAUGUCACAAGACCGCAUGCUGCUCUCAGAGGGGCACCCUGUCCUUGGACCUCCCUCACUCAAGGGUGCUGACCUGGAGGAACACAAGGACCCCGUGACAAAGCCACCAGUUCUCCGCCUCCGGGCCUCGAGACCAAGCCUGUUCCUGCUGCUCCUGAGAGACUCAGCCGAUGACCCGGAAUAGGACACAAGGUUCCAUUCUUUUGUUUAAAGCAAGUGGCACAUGGUCUACUCAUGAACUUCCAGGGACAGAAAGAUUGUCUCUAAAGCAGGGGACAGUGUCCCUCGGGACUGGAGGUCUUCUGGGGAAGGUCCGGCUGUGUCUUACAAAACCCAUCUCAGAUAUGGGUGUUUACUGUCAAAAGAACACACUGUCAUGGAUCAAUCACAGACAGAAUUUAUUCAUGGUCACUACUGCUGCUUGGUAGACUCGGGACAAGGACAAGGAAUUCAUUUUUAUGUCCAAUGGGGACCUUCAGCUUGGGGGCCACAUAAAGAGUAGAAUGAAAGAAUAGUGUAUGCAAGAGAUAUAGGGGACACUGUCAGCUGCAUGUGUCUGUGAGAGGCAGGAAGGCUUUUGACAUCUUAAAUCCAGGUCUUCUGCAAGAUGCCCCUGAGCUGUCUUUCCAGCCCCUAACCUAACAUAGCAGGUGCUAUUCCGUGGAUCUUAGCACAACCACAAUGCUGUUAGACAUCCCUCUAACAAUGGUUGUGAGUCUAUAUGAGGAGGCAGCGACAGCUGUCUGAGGAAGGAAGUGAGCCUGUUAGCAGGCUCUAGGGCUUUGAGGAGGGCCUCAAGGGAUCUGGUGGGAAGAGUAGGUUCCAGGGCUUGGAGGUGCAGUGUCGGGGCAGAAAGACAGUGUGGGGCUCAAGGAGCACACUGAUUCUGCAUAUGAGUGAUCCCUGAGUGAAAGAAAAGUCAGGGGGAAGGAAGAAGACACUAGGUGAAAUCUAAGAGCCCUUAACAUCUACAGAGGUCUGGAGGAGGAAGAAGAGGAGGAGGAGGAAGAGGAGGAGGAGGCUGAAAAGUCCAUGUAAGGCCAGAGGAAGGCCCCUUAUGGCCAGGACUUCUCUCUCUGCUGGCCUGAGACACUGGAGGGCUGUGGCUAUCAGUGUAUGGACAUGACUUUCUCGGACUUUAAUGAGGCUUAGUUACUUUCCA